GACGAACGCUGGCGGCGUGCUUAACACAUGCAAGUCGAACGGAAAGGCCCUGCUUUUGUGGGGUGCUCGAGUGGCGAACGGGUGAGUAACACGUGAGUAACCUGCCCUUGACUUUGGGAUAACUUCAGGAAACUGGGGCUAAUACCGGCUAGGAGCUCCUGCUGCAUGGUGGGGGUUGGAAAGUUUCGGCGGUUGGAGAUGGACUCGCGGCUUAUCAGCUUGUUGGUGGGGUAGUGGCUUACCAAGGCUUUGACGGGUAGUCGGCCUGAGAGGGUGACCGGCCACAUUGGGACUGAGAUAGGGCCCAGACUCCUACGGGAGGCAGUAGUGGGGAAUAUUGCACAGUGGGCGGAAGCCUGAUGCAGCAGCGCCGCGUGCGGGAUGACGGCCUUCGGGUUGUAAACCGCUUUCGCCUGUGACGAAGCGUGAGUGACGGUAAUGGGUAAAGAAGCACCGGCUAACUACGUG
rnacentral:rRNA from 1 species